rnacentral:rRNA from 1 species
GUGGGGAAUAUUGGGCAAUGGGCGAAAGCCUGACCCAGCAACGCCGCGUGAAGGAAGAAGGUCUUCGGAUCGUAAACUUCUAUCCUUGGUGAAAAUAAUGAUGGUAGCCGAGAAGGAAGCCCCGGCUAACUACGUGCCAGCAGCCGCGGUAAUACGUAGGGGGCAAGCGUUGUCCGGAAUGAUUGGGCGUAAAGGGCGCGUAGGCGGCCUGGUAAGUUCGGAGUGAAAGUCCUGCUUUUAAGGUGGGAAUUGCUUUGAAAACUGCUGGGCUUGAGUGCAGGAGAGGUAAGUGGAAUUCCCGGUGUAGCGGUGAAAUGCGUAGAGAUCGGGAGGAACACCAGUGGCGAAGGCGACUUACUGGACUGUGACUGACGCUGAGGCGCGAAAGUGUGGGGAGCAAACAGGAUUAGAUACCCGGGUAGUCC